CCUCUGACUGAACACUGAGAAAGACCUCACUACCCUCCUCUUUCUUUUUCACUUUUUGUUCUGUAGGUUAGGUGACUUCUACUUGCAUUGGUCCUGCUGAACAGACCCCCAUCCUCACUCAGCAAGCUUGUGGUAGAAUUGACAAGCAGCAGGAACUGAACAGGACUCUGUCAGUGUCUGUGGUUUCCCGUAGACCGCACUCCGCUGAAGGCAAGACUGUAGUGUGACAUCAAGGCUCAGAUAAUAAAGACCUGUGCCGUUCCAACAGACUGGAGGGCAGACCUGGCACACUUUCUAAACAGACAAUUCUAUUUUAGCUUCAAAAGACCAUGUUCCUGUCCUGGUCUUUGAAGAAACUCUUCUUGCGGGCAGGACUCAGCACCCAGGAUUGCAACUGAGGAUUUGCCAAGCAUCUUAAGGUGGGA